UCCAAUGUGGUGUAGUGGCUAACAUUGCUGUCUUUCAUCCACGUAGACGGUGAAGAAUCUUCACAGCAGCCCGGGGUUCGAUUCCCCGCAUUGGAA